UCCUUGCCUUCCUCCUUUCCUCCCUCCCUCCUUCCUUCCAUCCCUCCUCUUUGAUUACUUUUGGACAGUCUUUCCAUGCAGGUCAGGCUGGCCUUGAACAGUCUUGGGGGGCAGGGGGUAGUCUCCAAGGGCUAGGAUUACAGUCAUGCUACCACACCCAGUUCUACGUGUUUAUCUCAGAGUCGUCUGCAGCUCUGCUAACAUGACACCACUACAGAGUCGUCCGCUGCGUGUGAAGUGGGACUCUGCACUGUGUGCAAGAACCUGGAUUGUGAGCAUCAGGACUCAGGGCAGAAGAGAAUUGCAAGUAAAGAGUGAGAUGCCAGAAACCAUCCGGCCACUUUCAUCCAAUCACUUCCCACCACUUGCUCAUCGAGGUGGUGUGUGCUCCCAGACAGCCACCUGCUCAACUUUCCACUGCGUGGAAUCCCAGCUCCUUAAUCAAAACGAAACAAAAGCUUUUACAACAACAUCCAAGGAAAUUUGCCACCUGACAUCAAGGUUCUAAGCAGGCAUAGGAGUGAAGACACUCUUGGCUGUGCAAGUGAUACCCAGGCCAGGCUGCCCCAGCUUCUGCUGUGCCAAAUC
rnacentral:lncRNA from 1 species